rnacentral:rRNA from 1 species
UACGUAGGGGGCAAGCGUUGUCCGGAUUUAUUGGGCGUAAAGAGCGUGUAGGCGGCUAGGUAGGUCCGUUGUGAAAACUCGAGGCUCAACCUCGAGACGUCGAUGGAAACCAUCUAGCUAGAGUCCGGAAGAGGAGAGUGGAAUUCCUGGUGUAGCGGUGAAAUGCGCAGAUAUCAGGAAGAACACCCGUGGCGAAGGCGGCUCUCUGGUACGUGACUGACACUCAUGGACGAAAGCUAGGGGAGCGAAUGGG